rnacentral:RNase_MRP_RNA from 1 species
CCAAACAUGGCCCUGGGGAAAUUCCUCGCUCACUAGGGCAGAGAGUGCCAGCCGGAGACGGCAAACGGCGGGCUGCUCGGAUACGGCGGAGAUGGCGUGUUUCCCCCCCGGGGGGAGUGCGCCGGAGCCAUUCCCUGCGGUCGGCCACGCUUCGUACAAGCAAAGUAAUGCGGCGGGGGG